rnacentral:rRNA from 1 species
CAAUAGCGUAUAUUAAAGUUGUUGCAGUUAAAAAGCUCGUAGUUGGAUUUCUGGUUGAAGCGACCGGUCGGGCGUUGAUUCGUCUGCACUGGAGUCGGUUUUGGCCAUCCUCUAGGAAAGUGCGUCUGGUAUUAAGUUAUCGGGCGUAUGAUCCUGGUCUUUUACUGUGAAAAAAUUAGAGUGUUUAAAGCAGGCUUUCGCCUUGAAUACAUUAGCAUGGAAUAAUAAGAUAGGACUUUGGUCUAUUUUGUUGGUUUGCAGACCGAAGUAAUGAUUAAUAGGGAUAGUUGGGGGUAUUUAUAUUCCGAUGUCAGAGGUGAAAUUCUUAGAUUUUCGGAAGAUAAACUUAUGCGAAAGCAUUUACCAAGGAUGUUUUCAUUAA